ACGCCCGUAGCUCAAUUUGGUAGAGCAACGGAUUCCAAAUCCGUAGGUUGGGGGUUCAAGUCCUCCCGGGCGUG
rnacentral:tRNA from 1 species